rnacentral:lncRNA from 10 species
AGUACAAAGAUAAAAAUCUAAAGUGGUUGCUGUGGAGGACAGGGGUCAGUGGUGGAAGUGAGACCGAAAUAGACUCUGAAGUAAUAUCUGGACUUUGAAAUUGUUGCCUGUUCACUCUGCCUGGUCAUAUGCAGAAAACCGAAACUAGACCCCUUGCUGACACUUAUACAAAAAUUAACUCAAGAUGCAUUAAAGAUUUAAACGUGAGACCUAAAACCAGAAAAAUCCUAGAAGAAAACCUAGGCAACACCAUUGAGGACGUAAGCAUGGGCAAAGACUUCAUGACUAAAACACCAAAAGAAAUGGCAACAAAAGCCAAAAUUGACAAAAGGUUUCCUUAAUGACAACAAAAAAGGGAGUAAUCCUACCCACUGUAAGAGUCAUGACUCUUGAUUGCAGCUGACAGAAACUCAUGACAGCCUGCUUUAGAUGAAGGGGGAGAGAAGGACUGGAAGAAUCUUGGAGUUGGGAAUGUCACACGUAAUUGAAGGAAGAACAAGAAAACUAUAGUAAAGAACCCUGGGGUGGUGAUGUAGUCAUGGGCCAAGUGUCCUGGAACCCUGGGGUGGUGAUGUAGUUGUGGGCCAAGUGUCCUGGAACCCUGGGGUGGUGAUGU